rnacentral:rRNA from 1 species
UACGGAGGGUGCGAGCGUUGUCCGGAAUCAUUGGGCGUAAAGGGCGCGUAGGUGGCGGGACAAGCGUGCGGUGAAAGCUCGGGGCUCAACCCCGCGUCGGCCGUGCGAACUGUUUUGCUUGAGCACUGUAGAGGCAGGCGGAAUUCCGGGUGUAGCGGUGGAAUGCGUAGAGAUCCGGAGGAACACCGGUGGCGAAGGCGGCAUCCUGGACCGACACUGACGCUGAGGAGCGAAAGCUAGGGGAGCAAACGGG